rnacentral:rRNA from 1 species
UACGGAGGGUGCGAGCGUUGUCCGGAAUCACUGGGCGUAAAGGGCGUGUAGGUGGUAGUGUAAGUCUGGCGUGAAAUUUUUCGGCUUAACCGGGAAAGGUCGUCGGAUACUGCACAACUAGAGGACGGUAGAGGCGUGUGGAAUUCCGGGUGUAGUGGUGAAAUGCGUAGAGAUCCGGAGGAACACCAGUGGCGAAGGCGACACGCUGGGCCGUACCUGACACUGAUGCGCGACAGCAUGGGGAGCAAACAGG